rnacentral:rRNA from 1 species
UGGCGGACGGGUGAGUAAUGUCUGGGAAACUGCCUGAUGGAGGGGGAUAACUACUGGAAACGGUAGCUAAUACCGCAUAACGUCGCAAGACCAAAGAGGGGGACCUUCGGGCCUCUUGCCAUCAGAUGUGCCCAGAUGGGAUUAGCUAGUAGGUGGGGUAACGGCUCACCUAGGCGACGAUGCGUAGCCGACCUGAGAGGGUGAUCGGCCACAUUGGGACUGAGACACGGCCCAGACUCCUACGGGAGGCAGCAUG